rnacentral:rRNA from 1 species
UACGGGGGGUGCAAGCGUUGUUCGGAAUCAUUGGGCGUAAAGAGCGUGUAGGCGGUUGGACAAGUCAGAUGUGAAAGCCCUGGGCUUAACUCAGGAAGUGCAUUUGAAACUGUUCAGCUGGAGUAAGGGAGAGGAAAGUGGAAUUCCUGGUGUAGAGGUGAAAUUCGUAGAUAUCAGGAGGAACACCGGUGGCGAAGGCGACUUUCUGGCCCUAUACUGACGCUGAGAAGCGAUAGCGUGGGUAGAAAACAUGAUUAGAUCCC